rnacentral:lncRNA from 1 species
UGGCAAACUCCUGAAGGAUGAUUGAUUGAGAGGUUAAUCAACCAUUAAUGCCAAUAGAUGCUUCGGGUAGGUCAGUUUCAUAUUCAUAUUCAUGCCAAUUGAUUGAUUGAGAGGUUAAUCGUGUCUCCUUAUAUUCAUUCGGGCCUAUAAAAUCCCAACCUUGCCGCUGCUCAUUUCCACUUUUUUCAUUUUCACAAACCAUUCUCUAGCACAGAAGCGAUAGGUGAUGCUUAGGUCUCCAGCCGUUCCAAUUCUCCCUCUUUGCUGCAUCACCUCUUCACUGAAUUCUUACUACUCUUUCUUUUAAAAACUGCAGGUUGGACAUGUUGACAAAUUUCAGCCUGCUCUGCUUGGUUAGAAGUUGAUGCGCAGGUUCCAAGUCUCAAUUAUUGUCUACAUAUACCGAUGUGUUCUAUGCCUAAUUUAUAACUUGAAAUGAUUGCAGCUUCUCUCCAAGUAGGAAUUUGAGCUAUGUACUGCUUGGUUUCUUUCGUUCUUCCAGCUGAAUCUGCCGGCAUCCAAUGGCUAAUGGACAUAUCAGUUUUCUCUUUUCAUUGUAGUACAAACCUUUCAUUCGUAUGAUAUGAUUU